rnacentral:ribozyme from 1 species
CACGCAAAGUACAUGACCAUAACCACCGACAGCAAGUACCCCGUCUUGUACAAGUGCAACAUUUGUUCUGCUAAACUUACACGCGAAUACUCUCUGCGUCUGCAUCUCUUGAGCCAUUUCAAU